GCACUUCCAUAAAUACAGCACAAAAGCAAGAGACUGCAGUAGAUAACGGCCAUGCAGUUUGCCUUUUUCUUUGUUCUGCUCUUUUGUUAUGCAGCUCAAGUUGUAUCCACUUCAACCACGAUACCACCAGUCGCUGGUUGUGAAUAUAACGGAAAGAUCUACCCGCCAGGAGACAUUCCGGAAAUGUCCGGUCAAGAUGGGGAUUGGUGUUACGGAGGUUACUGUGACUACUCCGGGGGAGCAUACAACAUCAUCAAUUGGGAUAACUUUAACUGCGUACAACAAACUACAACACCGGCGCCGAACAGCAGCUGAUUUCCCUGGAAAAUGAAUGUGCAAUGUCAAAAAGAAAUUACAAGGCAACUAGACAAUACAUCUCGGCAAGCGUUAGAAUAGAACAUUGUCUUUCUUUCCAAAUUUCAACCAAACUUUCAAGAUUAAAUUUUGAAAUAAAUGUAAGGAUAAAAAAGAUAAAAAUGUACCAUAA